GUUUGAUCCUGGCUCAGGACGAACGCUGGCGGCGUGCCUAAUACAUGCAAGUCGAACGAACUCUGGUAUUGAUUGGUGCUUGCAUCAUGAUUUACAUUUGAGUGAGUGGCGAACUGGUGAGUAACACGUGGGAAACCUGCCCAGAAGCGGGGGAUAACACCUGGAAACAGAUGCUAAUACCGCAUAACAACUUGGACCGCAUGGUCCGAGCUUGAAAGAUGGCUUCGGCUAUCACUUUUGGAUGGUCCCGCGGCGUAUUAGCUAGAUGGUGGGGUAACGGCUCACCAUGGCAAUGAUACGUAGCCGACCUGAGAGGGUAAUCGGCCACAUUGGGACUGAGACACGGCCCAAACUCCUACGGGAGGCAGCAGUAGGGAAUCUUCCACAAUGGACGAAAGUCUGAUGGAGCAACGCCGCGUGAGUGAAGAAGGGUUUCGGCUCGUAAAACUCUGUUGUUAAAGAAGAACAUAUCUGAGAGUAACUGUCCAGGUAUUGACGGUAUUUAACCAGAAAGCCACGGCUAACUACGUGCCAGCAGCCGCGGUAAUACGUAGGUGGCAAGCGUUGUCCGGAUUUAUUGGGCGUAAAGCGAGCGCAGGCGGUUUUUUAAGUCUGAUGUGAAAGCCUUCGGCUUAACCGAAGAAGUGCAUCGGAAACUGGGAAACUUGAGUGCAGAAGAGGACAGUGGAACUCCAUGUGUAGCGGUGAAAUGCGUAGAUAUAUGGAAGAACACCAGUGGCGAAGGCGGCUGUCUGGUCUGUAACUGACGCUGAGGCUCGAAAGUAUGGGUAGCAAACAGGAUUAGAUACCCUGGUAGUCCAUACCGUAAACGAUGAAUGCUAAGUGUUGGAGGGUUUCCGCCCUUCAGUGCUGCAGCUAACGCAUUAAGCAUUCCGCCUGGGGAGUACGGCCGCAAGGCUGAAACUCAAAGGAAUUGACGGGGGCCCGCACAAGCGGUGGAGCAUGUGGUUUAAUUCGAAGCUACGCGAAGAACCUUACCAGGUCUUGACAUACUAUGCAAAUCUAAGAGAUUAGACGUUCCCUUCGGGGACAUGGAUACAGGUGGUGCAUGGUUGUCGUCAGCUCGUGUCGUGAGAUGUUGGGUUAAGUCCCGCAACGAGCGCAACCCUUAUUAUCAGUUGCCAGCAUUAAGUUGGGCACUCUUGUGAGACUGCCGGUGACAAACCGGAGGAAGGUGGGGAUGACGUCAAAUCAUCAUGCCCCUUAUGACCUGGGCUACACACGUGCUACAAUGGAUGGUACAACGAGUUGCGAACUCGCGAGAGUAAGCUAAUCUCUUAAAGCCAUUCUCAGUUCGGAUUGUAGGCUGCAACUCGCCUACAUGAAGUCGGAAUCGCUAGUAAUCGCGGAUCAGCAUGCCGCGGUGAAUACGUUCCCGGGCCUUGUACACACCGCCCGUCACACCAUGAGAGUUUGUAACACCCAAAGUCGGUGGGGUAACCUUUUAGGAACCAGCCGCCUAAGGUGGGACAGAUGAUUAGGGUG
rnacentral:rRNA from 1 species